UAGCCGUAAACGAUACUCGCUAGGUGUCGGCCACGGUGCGACCGUUGUCGGUGCCGUAGGGAAGCCGUGAAGCGAGCCACCUGGGAAGUACGGCCGCAAGGCUGAAACUUAAAGGAAUUGGCGGGGGAGCACCACAACGGGUGGAGCUUGCGGUUUAAUUGGACUCAACGCCGGAAAUCUUACCGGGACCGACAGCAACAUGAAGGCCAGGCUGAAGACUUUGCCGGAUUAGCUGAGAGGAGGUGCAUGGCGUAGUCGUGU
rnacentral:rRNA from 1 species